CCAAUAGCGUAUAUUAAAGUUGUUGCAGUUAAAAAGCUCGUAGUUGAAUUUCGAGAUCGGUUUAUUGGUCGUGCUAUUGUACGUACUGGUAUUACCGGUUUCUCCUUUCUGACGAACCUUAAUGCCAUUAAUUUGGUGUUUUGGGAAAUCAGGACUGUUACUUUGAAAAAAUUAGAGUGUUUAAAGCAGGCUCACGCUUGAAUACAUUAGCAUGGAAUAACGGAAUAGGACGUUUGAUUCUAUUUUGUUGGUUUCUAGGAUCGACGUAAUGAUUAAUAGGGAUAGUUGGGGGCAAUAGUAUUCAAUUGUCAGAGGUGAAAUUCUUGGAUUUAUUGAAGACUAACUACUGCGAAAGCAUUUGCCAAGGAUGUUUUCAUUAAUCAAGAACGAAAGUUAGGGGAUCGAAGACGAUCAGAUACCGUCGUAGUCUUAACCAUAAACUAUGCCGACUAGGGAUCGGAUGAUGUUAAUUUUUUAAUGACUCAUUCGGCGCCUUACG
rnacentral:rRNA from 1 species